UGCCUAAUAAUGCAAGUCGAGCGAACAGACGAGGAGCUUGCUCCUCUGANGUUAGCGGCGGACGGGUGAGUAACACGUGGAUAACCUACCUAUAAGACUGGGAUAACUUCGGGAAACCGGAGCUAAUACCGGAUAACAUGUUGAACCGCAUGGUUCAACAGUGAAAGACGGUNUUGCUGUCACUUAUAGAUGGAUCCGCGCCGCAUUAGCUAGUUGGUAAGGUAACGGCUUACCAAGGCAACGAUGCGUAGCCGACCUGAGAGGGUGAUCGGCCACACUGGAACUGAGACACGGUCCAGACUCCUACGGGAGGCAGCAGUAGGGAAUCUUCCGCAAUGGGCGAAAGCCUGACGGAGCAACGCCGCGUGAGUGAAGAAGGUCUUCGGAUCGUAAAACUCUGUUAUUAGGGAAGAACAAAUGUGUAAGUAACUAUGCACGUCUUGACGGUACCUAAUCAGAAAGCCACGGCUAACUACGUGCCAGCAGCCGCGGUAAUACGUAGGUGGCAAGCGUUAUCCGGAAUUAUUGGGCGUAAAGCGCGCGUAGGCGGUUUUUUAAGUCUGAUGUGAAAGCCCACGGCUCAACCGUGGAGGGUCAUUGGAAACUGGAAAACUUGAGUGCAGAAGAGGAAAGUGGAAUUCCAUGUGUAGCGGUGAAAUGCGCAGAGAUAUGGAGGAACACCAGUGGCGAAGGCGACUUUCUGGUCUGUAACUGACGCUGAUGUGCGAAAGCGUGGGGAUCAAACAGGAUUAGAUACCCUGGUAGUCCACGCCG
rnacentral:rRNA from 1 species